rnacentral:rRNA from 1 species
UGGGGAAUUUUGGACAAUGGGCGCAAGCCUGAUCCAGCAAUGCCGCGUGCAGGAUGAAGGCCUUCGGGUUGUAAACUGCUUUUGUACGGAGCGAAAAGGUCUGCCCUAAUACGGUGGGCUCAUGACGGUACCGUAAGAAUAAGCACCGGCUAACUACGUGCCAGCAGCCGCGGUAAUACGUAGGGUGCGAGCGUUAAUCGGAAUUACUGGGCGUAAAGCGUGCGCAGGCGGUUAUGCAAGACAGAGGUGAAAUCCCCGGGCUCAACCUGGGACCUGCAUUUGUGACUGUAUAGCUAGAGUACGGUAGAGGGGGAUGGAAUUCCGAGUGUAGCAGUGAAAUGCGUAGAUAUGCGGAGGAACACCGAUGGCGAAGGCAAUCCCCUGGACCUGUACUGACGCUCAUGCACGAAAGCGUGGGGAGCAAACA